GACGAACGCUGGCGGCGUGCUUAACACAUGCAAGUCGAACGGAAAGGCCCUGCUUUUGUGGGGUGCUCGAGUUGCGAACGGGUGAGUAACACUUGAGUAACCUGCCCUUGACUUUGGGUUAACGUCAGGAAACUUGGGCUCAUACCGGAUAGGAGCUCCUGCUGCAUGGUGGGGGUUGGAUAGUUUCGGUGGUUGGGGAUGGACUCGCGGCUUAUCAGCUUGUUGGUGUGGUAGUGUCUUACCAAGGCUUUGACGGGUAGCCGUCCUGAGAGGGUCAGAGGCCAAAUUGGGACGGAGAUGCGGCCCAGACUACUACGGGAGGGAGCGGUGGAGAAUAUUGCACAAUGGGAGGAAGCCUGAUGCAGCAACGCCGCGUGCGGGAUGAGGGCAAUGGGGUUGUAAAGCGAUUUCGCCUGUGACGAAGAGUGAGUGACGGUAAUGGGUAAAGAAGCACCGGCUAACUACGUG
rnacentral:rRNA from 1 species